CGUCGAAGGCGUGGAGGAAGGCAUCUUGGAUCCUGGCAACAAGACGCUCCGUAGGGGGCAGCCAUCUUGGAAUCGGUUCUGAUAAUACAAUAGGAGCCGGCGCCAUCUUAGAUCUUGGCAGUGCCGUCGCCCGCCCCUCACCCCCACCUCGCAGUGGCCAUGUUUGGUGCGGGCUGAUUAAGUCGUACAGGCGCUCUGCGGAAUCCACGUGCCUUCCGUUUAGCUCAGGUUCCGCACUUGGCGCAGAAGGCAGCCUUGUCGGGAGUGGGAAGAGCCCGGCUGAGCUCGAGGGCGGUGUUAGUUGCUGUACACACAUUUGUGAGCAACUACUGUUGAGGAUGAAGCACGGGAAGAGGAAAACUUCACAAAAAUUCUCUGAUGAGCACUUUGAGACCUCACAAAGAACUGCAACCACAACCAUCAAACCAGACUGAUGCUUUGAUUUCACAAAAACAAGGUCAAAUAUCCCACAAGUUUUAGAGUUUUGUUCCUCUCUUCUUUUCUUACAGUUUUAAUAAAAAUAUUAAAUAUUAAAA